CCUACGGGAGGCAGCAGUGAGGAAUAUUGGUCAAUGGGCGGGAGCCUGAACCAGCCAAGUCGCGUGAGGGAAGACGGUCCUACGGAUUGUAAACUUCUUUUGCCGGGGAGCAACGGGGUCCUUGCGAGGGCCCAAUGAGAGUACCCGGAGAAAAAGCAUCGGCAAACUCCGUGCCAGCAGCCGCGGUAAUACGGGGGAUGCGAGUGUUAUCGGGAUUUAUUGGGUUUAAAGGGUGCGUAGGCGGGCUGUUAAGUCAGGGGGAAAAUGUCGGGGCUCAACUCCGGACUGCCGUUGAAACUGGCGGCCUCGAGAGGGCGAGAGGUAUGCGGAAUGUGUGGUGUAGCGGUGAAAUGCAUAGAGAUCACACAGAACUCCGAUUGCGAAGGCAGCAUACCGGCGCCCUACUGACGCUGAGGCACGAAAGCGUGGGUAUCGAACAGGAUUAGAUACCCGGGUAGUC
rnacentral:rRNA from 1 species